CCGCCCCCGCCCCUUCUAGAUCAAGCGAGCGGCCCGCCUCAGCCUCGCUGGCGACCUUCCCCUCUCGCGGAGGAGGGCCACCCGUCCCGCUACGUCAAGCUCACCAAGGACCAGGACGCCCCCGGCGAGGACAUCCGCCCCGACGAGCUCAACCAGCCCGUCCACGUCCCCCAACUCGAGGGCCGGAGGUGCGGCGAGUGCAGCCAGGUCCUCCCGGAGAGCUACGAGCCGCCCGCCGACGAGCCGUGGUCCACCGGGAUCUUGGGCUGCACCGACGACCCCGAGAGCUGGGCACAAUGCUGGAGCUGGUAGGCAAGCUAGCACUCAUGGAUUCGUAAACUGGCUUGGAUGUGUACUGAUACGUCUCCGUCGUAUCUACUUUUCCAAACACUUUUGCCCUU